CGCGGGGGGCCUCGGGGCUGAGGUCCGCAGGGGUGCCGCGCCCUGGAGUCCGACUGCCUAGGAGUCCGGGCGUCGCUGCCGGCCGUGGGGGAGGGGCGAGCCUCCCGCCAGGCCCCGCCCCCUCGGCGCCGCGUCCCCACGGCCCCGGCGCCGCCCGCCUGCGCCCGCCUCCUGUGCCCGCCCCCGGGUAAUACCGGAAACAAAAGGAGAGGCUGCAAUCGCAAAUUGUUUAAAAAGAAGAAAAAGGAAAGAAAAGUUGAAUGCAAAAUAAGUGAAAAAUCCUCGUUCAAGUGUUCUGGCAUUAAGAUUGACUGUCACACUGAAUUCUGUGCCAAUCCUAACAACAUGUGUUCUUUUUCUGGUCUUCACAAGUAAGAAUGUCUUAGGUUUUCCAGAAAUAAAGAUGUCCCAAAAGAAU
rnacentral:lncRNA from 1 species